UAGGGAAUCUUCGGCAAUGGGGGGAACCCUGACCGAGCAACACCGCGUGAGUGAAGAAGGUUUUCGGAUCGUAAAGCUCUGUUGUUAAGGAAGAACGAGUGUGAGAAUGGAAAGUUCAUACUGUGACGGUACUUAACCAGAAAGGGACGGCUAACUACGUGCCAGCAGCCGCGGUAAUACGUAGGUCCCGAGCGUUGUCCGGAUUUAUUGGGCGUAAAGCGAGCGCAGGCGGUUAGAUAAGUCUGAAGUUAAAGGCAGUGGCUCAACCAUUGUAGGCUUUGGAAACUGUUUAACUUGAGUGCAGAAGGGGAGAGUGGAAUUCCAUGUGUAGCGGUGAAAUGCGUAGAUAUAUGGAGGAACACCGGUGGCGAAAGCGGCUCUCUGGUCUGUAACUGACACUGAGGCUCGAAAGCGUGGGGAGCGAACAGG
rnacentral:rRNA from 1 species